rnacentral:rRNA from 1 species
AUUGAACGCUGGCGGCAGGCUUGACACAUGCAAGUCGAGCGGGGGAGGUUGCUUCGGUAACUGACCUAGCGGCGGACGGGUGAGUAAUGCUUAGGAAUCUGCCUAUUAGUGGGGGACAACAUUCCGAAAGGGAUGCUAAUACCGCAUACGCCCUACGGGGGAAAGCAGGGGAUCUUCGGACCUUGCGCUAAUAGAUGAGCCUAAGUCGGAUUAGCUAGUUGGUGGGGUAAAGGCCUACCAAGGCGACGAUCUGUAGCGGGUCUGAGAGGAUGGUCCGCCACACUGGGACUGAGACACGGCCCAGACUCCUACGGGAGGCAGCAGUGGGGAAUAUUGGACAAUGGGCGGAAGCCUGAUCCAGCCAUGCCGCGUGUGUGAAGAAGGCCUUUUGGUUGUAAAGCACUUUAAGCGAGGAGGAGGCUACUAGUACUAAUACUACUGGAUAGUGGACGUUACUCGCAGAAUAAGCACCGGCUAACUCUGUGCCAGCCGCCGCAGUAACAC